rnacentral:rRNA from 1 species
UACGGAGGGUGCAAGCGUUAUCCGGAUUCACUGGGUUUAAAGGGUGCGUAGGUGGGUUGGUAAGUCAGUGGUGAAAUCUCCGUGCUUAACAUGGAAACUGCCAUUGAUACUACUGGUCUUGAAUUUUCCGGAGGUAAGCGGAAUAUGUCAUGUAGCGGUGAAAUGCUUAGAUAUGACAUAGAGCACCAAUUGCGAAGGCAGCUUACUACAGGGACAUUGACACUGAGGCACGAAAGCGUGGGGAUCAAACAGG